GAGUUUGAUCCUGGCUCAGAUUGAACGCUGGCGGCAUGCCUUACACAUGCAAGUCGAACGGCAGCACGGGAGCUUGCUCCUGGUGGCGAGUGGCGAACGGGUGAGUAAUACAUCGGAACGUACCCAGGAGUGGGGGAUAACGUAGCGAAAGUUACGCUAAUACCGCAUAUUCUGUGAGCAGGAAAGCGGGGGAUCGCAAGACCUCGCGCUCUUGGAGCGGCCGAUGUCGGAUUAGCUAGUUGGUGAGGUAAAAGCUCACCAAGGCGACGAUCCGUAGCAGGUCUGAGAGGAUGAUCUGCCACACUGGGACUGAGACACGGCCCAGACUCCUACGGGAGGCAGCAGUGGGGAAUUUUGGACAAUGGGGGCAACCCUGAUCCAGCCAUGCCGCGUGAGUGAAGAAGGCCUUCGGGUUGUAAAGCUCUUUCGGCGGGGAAGAAAUGGCAACGGCUAAUAUCCGUUGUUGAUGACGGUACCCGCAUAAGAAGCACCGGCUAACUACGUGCCAGCAGCCGCGGUA
rnacentral:rRNA from 1 species